UUCGGAAAACAAAGUGCUCCAAGUGCCAUCCCACCGGCGAUUUAGAUUCUAGCUGGCGGGAGGUAGUUCGAGAUUAGUCACACCAAAGAAGAGGCGUUUUAUCGCCGGCGACUAAAUCUCCCCAAAUCUGAGUGUGUCUCUGCCUUAAGGCUCAUGUAUGUCCACAAGUGCAGUUGCAGUUUCCAGGUCUG
rfam:Xenopus laevis strain J chromosome 3S, whole genome shotgun sequence.